GGGUUAGACUGUCUCCUUUUUCAAAUCAGUGAAAUUAAUCUCCCCGUGAAGAAGCGGGGAUACUCAUAUAAGACGAGAAGACCCCAUGGAGCUUCAAACCCAACUACACCCCUAGCUCUUAUAGCCCCACAACCCCCCUAGGCGCCGUGUGCUUGGUUUUAGGUUGGGGCGACCGCGGAGUACAAUAAAACCUCCACAAUGAAUGGGAACACCCCCUUAUCUGAGGGCCACACCCCCUAAGAAUUAGAACACUAACAUAAAAUGAUCCAUUACUUGAUCAAUGAACCAAGUUACCCUGGGGAUAACAGCGCAAUCCAUUUCAAGAGCCCCUAUCGACAAAUGGGUUUACGACCUCGAUGUUGGAUCAGGGUACCCCAGUGGUGCAGCAGCUACUAACGGUUCGUUUGUUCAACGAUUAAAACCCU
rnacentral:rRNA from 1 species